UUAUUGUUAUAUAUUAUGCUGCAGACCGUAGGUGCUAUAAAGCUUAAUUUCCUACCGAGGCAAAACUUUAGUAAUGAUUUCUAUUUUUAAAAAUCAUUACCAAAAACCAUGUGGUCAAAAAAGCCUUUCUGCAGAAACGGAAAGGCUUUUUUAAAUAAGAA
rnacentral:sRNA from 1 species